AAGACUAUACUUUCAGGGAUCAUUUCUAUAGUUUGUUACUAGAGAAGUUUCUCUGAAUUUGUAGAGUACCCAAAACCACGAGGAGGAGACAGACGUAGUAUUCCUUCCUGAGCGUGAAGCUGACUUUGGGCAUUGUGCUAUACAACAGCCCUUGGUCAUUGAUGAUCGUUCUUCUUCUCUUUUGCAGAGGUUAGCUGGGGAUAAAAAUAUAUUAUAUGU